rnacentral:rRNA from 1 species
ACUGCGGAAGGGUCCUUUAAGGGGCCUUUCCCAAAAAGGGAGCUGGGAGGGAACAGGUUGGGCUGCGGCCAUUCGAGAUACACCCUUGCCUUUUUGAGUACCUUUUCGUUUCCUCGGCAGGCUCGCCUGCCAACGGGGACCCUUCAAAACGCUUUGUGAUACCUGUAACUGUCUGAUAUAACAAGCAAAAAUCAAAACUUUCAACAACGGAUCUCUUGGUUCUGGCAUCGAUGAAGAACGCAGCGAAAUGCGAUAAGUAGUGUGAAUUGCAGAAUUCAGUGAAUCAUCGAAUCUUUGAACGCACAUUGCGCCCUUUGGUAUUCCUUAGGGCAUGCCUGUUCGAGCGUCAUUUAGACCUUCAAGCUCAGCUUGGUGAUGGGUGACUGUCCUCCCCUCGCGGGGGGGACUCGCCUCAAAAACAUUGGCGGCCGGUACAUUGGCUUCGAGCGCAGCAGAAACGCGGUCUCGAGUCCGGUGGAUCGGCUCCCAUAAGCCUUCUUUUUUAUUUGACCUCGGAUCAGGUAGGGAUACCCGCUGAACUUAAGCAUAUCAAAACCGGGGAGGAAAAUCCCGCUGAACUUAAUCAUAUCAAUAGAGAUAAGGAAAUUGCCUUUUUGAGUACAUUU